AAACUAGGAUUAGAUNCCCUAUUAUUUAAAUUUGAAUUAUAAUUUUUUUUUAGGAAUUUGGUUAUACAAAAAAUUAAAUUGAUUUGGCGGUUUUUUAAACUUUUUAGAGGAACCUGUUGAUUAAUUUGAUAAUCCACGAUUUAAUUUACCUUAAUUUUCUUGUAUAUCUCUAUAAUUGAAUAUAUUUUGAGGUUAAUUUUCUUUUUUCUAUUAUAGGAACUAAUUUAGGUCAAGGUGCAGUUAUAUUGAGGUUCAAAUGGGUUACAUUAUUUAGGUUUGUAGGGGGCUUAUUUAAAUAAAUGUAAAAAUGGAUUUAAAAGUAAGAUUUUUUAUUCAAAAAUUUGAAUCAUGCUCUAGAUUAUGUACAUAUCGCCCGUCAUUCUCAUCAAGUGAGACAAGUCGUAACAAAGUAGAUGUAUUGGAAAAUGUAUCUAGCGGAUA
rnacentral:rRNA from 1 species